rnacentral:rRNA from 1 species
UACGUAGGCAGCGAGCGUUGUUCGGAGUUACUGGGCGUAAAGGGUGUGUAGGCGGUUCUCUAAGUUUGGUGUGAAAUCUCCCGGCUCAACCGGGAGGGUGCGCCGAAAACUGGAGGGCUAGAGUGCGGGAAGGGAGAGUAGAAUUCCUGGUGUAGCGGUGAAAUGCGUAGAUAUCGGUAGGAACACCAGUGGCGAAGGCGGUCUCCUGGAGCAGACUUGACGCUGAGGCGCGAAAGCUGGGGGAGCGAACGGG